CAUGCAGGCGGUUGUGCAAGACAGGUGUGAAAUCCCCGGGCUUAACCUGGGAACUGCACUUGUGACUGCACGGCUGGAGUACGGCAGAGGGGGAUGGAAUUCCGCGUGUAGCAGUGAAAUGCGUAGAUAUGCAAAGGAACACCGAUGGCGAAGGCAAUCCCCUGGGCCUGUACUGACGCUCAUGCACAAAAGCGUGGGGAGCAAACAGGAUUAGAUACCCUCGUA
rnacentral:rRNA from 1 species